rnacentral:rRNA from 1 species
GAUCAUGGCUCAGGAUGAACGCUGGCGGCGUGCCUAACACAUGCAAGUCGAACGAAGCUUGACGGAUGAUUUCUUCGGAAUGAAACCAGAUAUGACUUAGUGGCGGACGGGUGAGUAACACGUGAGCAACCUGCCUUUCAGAGGGGGAGUAACGGACUGGAAACGGUACGCUAAUACCGCAUGAUGUGUUCGGAUGGCAUCAUCUGAACAUCAAAGAUUUAUUCGCUGAAAG